GAGGCGGGGGAGAGUCGACACAGGUCGUCUCGUCUGACCAGCACAAACGCCAGGAUCAGGGUAGGAAUAAGGCCCGCCAAGAUCCUCAAAGGACUCAUAAUCCGUCGGCCGUGGGUUCGAGUCCCACCCGCCCCA
rnacentral:tRNA from 1 species